rnacentral:rRNA from 1 species
GACAGAGGGUGCAAACGUUGCUCGGAAUCACUGGGCGUAAAGGGCGUGUAGGCGGGAAGGAAAGUCAGAUGUGAAGUCCCUGGGCUCAACCCAGGAACUGCAUUUGAAACUCCCUUUCUUGAGUACCGGAGAGGAAGGUGGAAUUCCUGGUGUAGAGGUGAAAUUCGUAGAUAUCAGGAGGAACACCAGUGGCGAAGGCGACUACCUGGCCUGUUCUUGACGCUGUGGCGCGAAAGCUAGGGGAGCAAACGGG